GGGGAAUUUUCCACAAUGGGCGAAAGCCUGAUGGAGCAACGCCGCGUGUGUGAUGAAGGUUUUCGGAUCGUAAAGCACUUUCGACCGGGACGAAAAACCUCUGGCUAACAUCCAGGGGCCUGACGGUACCGGGAGAAGAAGCACCGGCUAACUCUGUGCCAGCAGCCGCGGUAAUACAGAGGGUGCAAGCGUUGUUCGGAAUUAUUGGGCGUAAAGCGCGUGUAGGCGGCUUUGCAAGUCAGAUGUGAAAGCCCUCGGCUUAACCGAGGAAGUGCGUCUGAAACUGCAGAGCUUGAGUGUCGGAGAGGAUGGCGGAAUUCCGCAAGUAGAGGUGAAAUUCGUAGAUAUGCGGAGGAACACCGGUGGCGAAGGCGGCCAUCUGGACGACUACUGACGCUGAGACGCGAAAGCGUGGGGAGCAAAC
rnacentral:rRNA from 1 species